GACGAACGCUUGCGGCGUGCUUAACACAUGCAAGUCGAACGGAAAGGCCCUGCUUUUGUGGGGUGCUCGAGUGGCGAACGGGUGAGUAACACGUGAGUAACCUGCCCUUGACUUUGGGAUAACUUCAGGAAACUGGGGCUAAUACCGGAUAGGAGCUCCUGCUGCAUGGUGGGGGUUGGAAAGUUUCGGCGGUUGGGGAUGGACUCGCGGCUUAUCAGCUUGUUGGUGGGGUAGUGGCUUACCAAGGCUUUGACGGGUAGCCGGCCUGAGAGGGUGACCGGCCACAUUGGGACUGAGAUACGGCCCAGACUCCUACGGGAGGCAGCAGUGGGGAAUACUGCACAAUGGGCGGAAGCCUGAUGCAGCAACGCCGCGUGCGGGAUGACGGCCUUCGGGUUGUAAACCGCUUUCGCCUGUGACGAAGCGUGAGUGACGGUAAUGGGUAAAGAAGCACCGGCUAACUACGUGCCAGCAGCCGCGGUGAUACGUAGGGUGCGAGCGUUGUCCGGAUUUAUUGGGCGUAAAGGGCUCGUAGGUGGUUGAUCGCGUCGGAAGUGUAAUCUUGGGGCUUAACCCUGAGCGUGCUUUCGAUACGGGUUGACUUGAGGAAGGUAGGGGAGAAUGGGAUUCCUGGUGGAGCGGUGGAAUGCGCAGAUAUCAGGAGGAACACCAGUGGCGAAGGCGGUUCUCUGGGCCUUUCCUGACGCUGAGGAGCGAAAGCGUGGGGAGCGAACAGGCUUAGAUACCCUGGUAGUCCACGCUGUAAACGGUGGGUACUAGGUGUGGGGUCCAUUCCACGGGUUCCGUGCCGUAGCUAACGCUUUAAGUACCCCGCCUGGGGAGUACGGCCGCAAGGCUAAAACUCAAAGGAAUUGACGGGGCCCCGCACAAGCGGCGGAGCAUGCGGAUUAAUUCGAUGCAACGCGUAGAACCUUACCUGGGUUUGACAUGGAUCGGGAGUGCUCAGAGAUGGGUGUGCCUCUUUUGGGGUCGGUUCACAGGUGGUGCAUGCCUGUCGUCAGCUCGUGUCGUGAGAUGUUGGGUUAAGUCCCGCAACGAGCGCAACCCUUGUUCACUGUUGCCAGCACGUUAUGGUGGGGACUCAGUGGAGACCGCCGGGGUCAACUCGGAGGAAGGUGGGGAUGACGUCAAGUCAUCAUGCCCCUUAUGUCCAGGGCUUCACGCAUGCUACAAUGGCUGGUACAGAGAGUGGCGAGCCUGUGAGGGUGAGCGAAUCUCGGAAAGCCGGUCUCAGUUCGGAUUGGGGUCUGCAACUCGACCUCAUGAAGUCGGAGUCGCUAGUAAUCGCAGAUCAGCAACGCUGCGGUGAAUACGUUCCCGGG
rnacentral:rRNA from 1 species